rnacentral:rRNA from 1 species
AUACGGAGGGUGCGAGCGUUAAUCGGAGUUACUGGGCGUAAAGCGUGCGUAGGCGGUUUGCUAAGUCAGAUGUGAAAGCCCCGGGCUUAACCUGGGAACUGCAUUUGAUACUGGCAGACUAGAGUAUGAUAGAGGGGGGUAGAAUUCCUGGUGUAGCGGUGAAAUGCGUAGAUAUCAGGAGGAAUACCAGUGGCGAAGGCGGCCCCCUGGAUCAAUACUGACGCUGAGGUACGAAAGCGUGGGGAGCGAACAGGAUUAGAUACCCUUGUAGUCC